UACGUAGGGUGCGAGCGUUAAUCGGAAUUACUGGGCGUAAAGCGUGCGCAGGCGGUUCGCUAAGACCGAUGUGAAAUCCCCGGGCUUAACCUGGGAACUGCAUUGGUGACUGGCGAGCUAGAGUGCGGCAGAGGGAGGUGGAAUUCCACGUGUAGCAGUGAAAUGCGUAGAGAUGUGGAGGAACACCGGUGGCGAAGGCGGCAUCCUGGACCGGCAUUGACGCUGAGGCGCGAAAGCCAGGGGAGCAAACGGG
rnacentral:rRNA from 1 species